CAUUAUGGAUUUAUAUAUAUAACACCUUUGUGCACUAUUAUAAUAAACACAACCAAAAAAAAAUUGUUGUAUGUUUUGAACCAAAUACAACUUUCAACAACGGAUCUCUUGGCUCUCGCAUCGAUGAAGAACGCAGCGAAAUGCGAUAAGUAAUGUGAAUUGCAGAAUUCAGUGAAUCAUCGAAUCUUUGAACGCACCUUGCGCUCCUUGGUAUUCCGAGGAGCAUGCCUGUUUGAGUGUCAUCGAAACCUCGAACCAAAGUCCUUCGAUCCGUCGGAGCUUUGUUUUCGGACCAUGGGAGCAUGCGGGCGGCGACGUCGGCUCUCCUCAAAAGCAUUAGCUGUGGGCGGCGAGCCUUGCGUGACACACGGCCUUGUUCGACGUCGUAAUGAUCGUCGUGGGCUGGAGGCGCGUGGAUCGACCAGUCUCAUGCUUCGCAACCCUCUGCGGGACGACCGCACGUAACCAAGGCUUGACCUCAAAUCAGGUAGGACUACCC
rnacentral:rRNA from 1 species